rnacentral:rRNA from 1 species
AGCGAACGCUGGCGGCAGGCCUAACACAUGCAAGUCGAACGAUCCUUCGGGAUAGUGGCGGACGGGUGAGUAACACGUGGGAACGUGCCUUUAGGUUCGGAAUAACUCAGGGAAACUUGUGCUAAUACCGAAUGUGCCCUUCGGGGGAAAGAUUUAUCGCCUUUAGAGCGGCCCGCGUCUGAUUAGCUAGUUGGUGAGGUAAAGGAUCACCAAGGCUACGAUCAGUAGCUGGUCUGAGAGGAUGACCAGCCACAUUGGGACUGAGACACGGCCCAAACUCCUACGGGAGGCAGCAGUGGGGAAUCUUGCGCAAUGGGCGAAAGCCUGACGCAGCCAUGCCGCGUGGAUGAUGAAGGUCUUAGGAUUGUAAAAUCCUUUCACCGGUGAAGAUAAUGACUGUAGCCGGAGAAGAAGCCCCGGCUAACUUCGUGCCAGCCGCCGCAGUAAUAC